AUACGGAGGAUCCGAGCGUUAUCCGGAUUUAUCGGGUUUAAAGGGUGCGCAGGCGGCCAUUUAAGUCAGCGGUUAAAUCGUGGGGCUCAACCCCAUUCUGCCGUUGAUACUGGGUGGCUUGAUUGCGGUCGAGGUUGGCGGAAUUCGUUGUGUAGCGGUGAAAUGCAUAGAUAUGACGAAGAACACCGAUUGCGUAGGCAGCUGACCAGACCGCAAAUGACGCUCAUGCACGAAAGUGCGGGGAUCGAACAGGAUUAGAUACCCUGGUAGUCCGCACAGUAAACGAUGAAUACUUGUUUUCGGCGAUAUAAUGUCGGAGGCAAAGCGAAAGCGAUAAGUAUUCCACCUGGGGAGUACGCCGGCAACGGUGAAACUCAAAUGAAUUGACGGGG
rnacentral:rRNA from 1 species